CUUAAGCAUGAAUCCUACCUAUAAAGGGACUACAUGCCAUUAUGGUGAACUGCCUGUUCUGUAAUCAUGAACUCAGCAUCAAGUCACGGCAGGCAAGCAGACACCAGAGGCAGCGACAUCCCUUGGCCAAUAUCGGUCCAGGGAGUGCCCAGUCACGUGCAUCUCCCCUGACCCUGCCACAGUGAGACUGAAUCUUGCCAUGUAUGUGGACAUCUCUGCCUGUAGUCUUUUGGAAAUGAUGCCCUCUAACUACAAUAAAUUUCAAUGGUGCAGCAAAAUACUGGGGCUGGAUAUUUUUUUUAAAUAAUUGUACCCUUAUGAAAUGUCAUUGGCUGCCCUGUGGUUUAAUAUUGGACUGGCAAAAUAAGAGCUUCUGGUUGUCCUUCAAACCACUUACACUCCUGUCUUUCUAGGGGAUCAGGGCAUGCAGGUUGCAGAGUGAGGUGUGCAAGGGUGCAUGUAUACAUCUAGCUUGGGAUUCUUGCCAAGAGAAAAGGUCCCAGCAGUAGCUGAGCUGCAGGCAGUAGGAUUGGUGGAUAAACAGUGUUGAUGUUUCCCUAUGAAUUUUAAUUAUCAAGAGGAGUGUCACUACAUUAGAUUGAAACCAAACAAAUCUGAAAAUAAAGCUGUUUUGCUUUGAGUAUGGAUGCUCGCCAGCAGCAUCCAAAAGACUAGUUUCCUUCCCUUUCAGAGGGAGACUCUUUGAGCCAUGAGCAAUUUGGCAUUUUAAAAGAAAAAAAUCCUCACUGAAUGUAUGUGGGAUGAAAAAUGUUAGGUUGGCAAGGGCAUAAGGUGAAGUCCUCUGUCAACAGAUUCUCCAUCUCACAGUGUAUCCCCCUAGUCUGGAAGGACAGAUGCUUGGGGUGAAGAAGUUCAGUUUCCAAAGUCUCCUGGCUGAGACAGCUAACAGGCAGCUGUGGUGAUAUGGACAUCCACCCACUCAUACCUGAGGCAUUUAAUUAAUGUAGACCACAAAAAUCUCCCAAGGGCUGGUUUGUUUCAGUCACCACUGACCUGGGCUGCAUUGGACCAAGUCACAUAGAGGUGAAAGGCUCCAUGUACCACCCACCACUGAACUGGGAGGGCUUGAUUUCUAAAUAGACCCAAAAUACAAAUAGCCAUAAUCUGCCCAGCCUGCCUCUCUGAGCCAUGCAAUCUUAGCAGAGACCUUACAGGUGUGGGUUAGAAAUGCUCUGAUGGUUUUUCUUUCUUGCUGCAAUGGCUGUGGAAGUGUGAUGUUCAAGGCACACAGCUGGGAAGCAUCAGGCUCUGGUGUGCAGUUUCUGUUCCUUCCACACCAGUGCUUUGCAGUCUGCUUCUGCUCCCAAGGUCACCAUGCCCAGAGUCUUUGGCCCUUUCCCACAACUUAUGAACAAGCAGCUGAGUGGAGCUACAGCUUCAAACAAUGACCUGAAGUAUCAGUGGGCUGGUGUGUCAACAAUGAACCAGAAAAGGUGUGAGGGUCUGAUGUACUGGGGAAGGUCAGGUCUGGAAAGGUAACAACGCAAGGUUGUUAGGUGGUAUGUCUCUUUCCUCAUUGCUGACAGGGGGGCUAGAAAGAGAACCUGUGAUGAAAGGAGAGCAGGUGCCUGUCCAGUAUGACUUGAAUAUGCAUUUGAUUUACUCCAGGCCUGUAAUGCUGCUCCUCCUGCUGCCAGGUCUUCGGUGCAAGGUUCUUCUUUUUUGCCUCCUAUAUAAUUUUUACAUCUCCCCUCCCCUCAAGUUUCCUUGUUCUUAUUGAACCCAGCUAAACAACAGAUCAUCUCCUUUACUGAACUCCAUGUCUUCCAACAGUAUGAUUGAUCUGCAUCCUAUAGUGCUGUACCCUGGGGCCUUCUACACCUCCCUCCAGACUGGCAAUCACAUCAAUAAGAUGAGGCACACCAGCUUCUUAAGGUAGGUCUUAUGACAGUUACCCACCACGUCAGGGCUGAUACCUGUGUUCUCUCUUUGGGUUGCAUGGAGUGCUUACAAAAGUUACAGAAGGUCACCUCGAUCAUGCUGUAAGAUGUUUGUGCUUUACACAAAGUGUUUAAAGUUAGUGUCAUCAAAGCUAACAGACGUUCAGUGUUUGAUGGUGGGGACUGAGUGCCUCCAUGCACUGGCAAAGGCUAAGAAGCCAGCCAGCUCAAUCGCUGCCCCUCUGCCCCCUUUACCCCUCCUCUGCCAGCUGGCUGCAAAGAACCAGCCAGGGUUCAUUCCCCCAUGUCAGGGGGCAGUGUGAAGGCAGCCUGGGGGUUGUGUCUCCUCUCUGCUGGUGCCAUGGGGCACUGGCGACCUUCUCUUAAUGGAGGGGGGGGGCAUCCCCACCCUUGAUCACUGCACACCUGCUCCACCUCCCUUGCCUGCAGGCUGGCUGCACAGAAAAGAGAUUAGAGCAUGACACACAGCCCUGGUAGGAAAUAUACAAGUUUCCUAAGGCACUCUAAUUUAUACUUGGAUACUUGCUGGUAGCAGGGCCACAUAUGUUUUUUCAACAAUUCAAAGGAUUCAGAACUGAUCUGGCUAAUUUGACCUGGAACAC